GGCGUGAUAGCUCAGUUGGUAGAGCAACGGAUUGAAAAUCCGUGUGUACCCAGUUCGAUCCUGGGUCUCGCCACCA
rnacentral:tRNA from 1 species